CAGCUUUAUCGGCCAAUGGUAGCCAUGUGCUACCUCUAACAAAGAAACUCCUGAGCCAAUGGCAGCCUGGGGGCGAGGCUGAGGGUGGCCAAACGCAAGGUAACUUGUGUAGGCCGAGGAAGGUGGGGGCGCGAGGAUGGGACGUUCAGGUUUGGUGGACUGGCGCCGAGGCCAGCAGGCCUGACAGCUGCUGAGGCCGAGCCAGGGCUUUCAGGGGUGGGGAAGGAGGGCGGAGCCGACCUGGGGCGGGCGCUCAGCAAGCCCCUCACUUCCACUGCGGCCUUUCUUCCCGCGCUCCGCCUGUGCACCGUGGCAAAACGGAUAACUUUAGAACCUACUAUGUGCCAGGCCGGGUCGUCAUGGCUGUAGAUAGCACUAUUGUUAAUAAGGGCUGAGUACUGUUCCAAGGGCUGCGAACGCUUUAGCACAUUGACGUUUACAACCUCUCCAUGAUUAUCCAUAUUUUACUUAUGAGGAAACAGACGUAGAGAAACUAAGCAAUAGGAAGUGGUGUUUCCAGGGAUGACUAAGAAGUCAACAGCCUCAAAGAGCUGUUAGUUAUGAGAAAUUAGUAAACGCUGACUCUACCAGGUCCUCAAGUAGGCAUUCCUUCCUUCAUUACGUGCUUGAGGAAAUGAAGGCUCAGACACCCAGAGUCCUUUAUACAGGGUCCCUCUGCUAGGAAGGAGCCAGACUGUCACUGUAAGUUUCCACGGUCCAGUCUCCUCGCCAGAAGUCAACCCGGAGGCUAUGUCGGAGCCACUGGGUGAAGAGUGCAGGAUUCCAGAGAGCAGGGAAACACACCCUUUAGGAGAAUUCAAGUAGUUUACAGGAGCAGAAAGAUGAACGUAAGCAGAUCUGGAGGAUUUCAGUGUGGCUGGAGGUGGAGGUAGUGCAGGAAAGGGCAAAAAGGAAGGGAGUAAAGGCACCUGAUGAGGGAUGGGUCAUCCAGAGCCUUGGGUUUCAGGAGCAGACCUGUGAAUGUCAGCCUGCUGACAGUUGGGAGUCAUCGUGUAUUUGUAAAUGAGAGAUCGAACUCGGGUCCUUGCACUUUCGCAGCAGGCGGAGAAACCACUGAGCUAAAUCCCCGGCCCUUAAAAGAGAACCCUGUGAUGAAGGUGCUCCAGGACCCUGCUUCAAUACCAUCAGCUCAUGACAGGUCUUGCCUCAGGCGUACCCCCAGCCACCAUAUUUCCUGUAUUUCAUCAAAGCCAAUCUCAAGUCACAAAACUUCAUCCAUAAAUAUUUCAGUGCAUGUUUAUAUUAGAUCAAACUCUUUUCAAAAAGUAGCCACAAUACCAUUAUCAUGCCUAAAAAAAUAAUUCUUUAAUAUCAUCAAAUAUCCAGUAAGUAAUUACCAGUUAUCUCAUAAAAACUUAAAUUAUUUUUGUCUAGGAAAAACAAAAGUUGAAAAAGAAAAAAAUGGCGAUCCAGAGGGUAGAUUGGUACAACUAUCUGGGGCUUUGCUUUGCCCCAGCAAUUCCAAUCCAUGAAUUUACCCUCAGAAAAAAAAAAAAAGAAAAAUUAAAGAGAAACAUAAACAUUGCUCACCAGAGUAUGCAGUGCUUGUUACAGAGAAGUUGCUUGAAAAAUAUUUGUUGAAAUCGAGUUCCAGUACUGUUGUUUGCAGCUUUGUUUGUAAAAAUAAAAACAGAAAGUAAUGGAAGCAUCUGACCUUAGGGUACUGGCUCACUGAAUGAUAGCAGAACCCUGUAAUGGCAUACAGUAUUGUGCUGACAUUUAAAAUAAGAUUCUAAUUUAAAAUCAGAUUCUAAUAGG